rnacentral:tRNA from 1 species
CGGGGGAUAGUGAAAUAGUCAUCACGCCUGGCCUACACCCAGUUGAAUUCACGGUGCGAAUCCGUGUCGCCCGACCA